CCCCCGUGUUGAGGAUCAGCGUGGCAGAUGUGUUGUUGCCUACCCUUACCAGAUUCCAACCAUGACCAUCCAUCUUCAGAUCCAUGAGCCGAUAUCCAAGGUGGCGAUCCAGAAGAAGAUGUAGCUAUUGGCCAACCAGUCCUGUUCAGUGUGGCUGCUGUGCAACGUGUCAGUCUGCUCCAACCUCUCCUACACCUGGGAGAGAGGGAAUGAGACGUACAGGGACGACCAGCAGAUACACUUCUCUCUGUCACCAGCAGACGGAGACAUCAGUGUAACCUGCUACGCCUCCGACUCAGUCAGUUGGAAAUCUGCAUCUACAACAGUAAAGUGUAGUAAUGACACAACAACCCCAGCAGAUCUAACUGACAACACAAGAAUGAAAGAUGUAAGUAUGCAGUAAACUACCAGAAUUUUGGUAACUUUCAAGAAUUGUAUGUAAUUUAUCACUAGACAACUAGAGCCCCUUUUGGUAUUUCAGAUGAUCACAGGUGUCUGUAAUUAUCUCUGGCCCUCUGUGUGGCCUUAUCACGUAAAAUAUAUGAAAUAACUAAAU